rnacentral:misc_RNA from 1 species
GUCGUAACAAGGUUUCCGUAGGUGAACCUGCGGAAGGAUCAUUACCACACCGAUCCACGAUCUUUCUCACCGCGAAGCGUGGUCCCAUUGGAAGCUGGUGGGUGUUUGUGUGAUGGACUGCCACUUGAGGUGCUCCGUGGCACUGCCUACCGGUGGGACCACAAACAAAGUGCUGCUGUUCUGCCUGAGACGGUAGGAUGGGGGUACGAACCGUCACUUUUACGACGUCAACCGGUCUUGACCUAAACAAACUGAACCAAAAGGGUUGUCUCUUCUCAUAAACCAGAAGCAGCAGCUCCAACAAAGUAAAUAACUUACAACUUUCAGCGAUGGAUGUCUAGGUUCCCA